rnacentral:rRNA from 1 species
CUUUCGGGGUACACGAGCGGCGAACGGGUGAGUAACACGUGGGUGAUCUGCCCUGCACUUCGGGAUAAGCCUGGGAAACUGGGUCUAAUACCGGAUAUGACCUCCUAUCGCAUGGUGGGUGGUGGAAAGAUUUAUCGGUGCAGGAUGGGCCCGCGGCCUAUCAGCUUGUUGGUGGGGUAAUGGCCUACCAAGGCGACGACGGGUAGCCGACCUGAGAGGGUGACCGGCCACACUGGGACUGAGACACGGCCCAGACUCCUACGGGAGGCAGCAGUGGGGAAUAUUGCACAAUGGGCGAAAGCCUGAUGCAGCGACGCCGCGUGAGGGAUGACGGCCUUCGGGUUGUAAACCUCUUUCAGCAGGGACGAAGCGCAAGUGACGGUACCUGCAGAAGAAGCACCGGCUAACUACGUGCCAGCAGCCGCGGUAAUACGUAGGGUGCAAGCGUUGUCCGGAAUUACUGGGCGUAAAGAGUUCGUAGGCGGUUUGUCGCGUCGUUUGUGAAAACCAGCAGCUCAACUGCUGGCUUGCAGGCGAUACGGGCAGACUUGAGUACUGCAGGGGAGACUGGAAUUCCUGGUGUAGCGGUGAAAUGCGCAGAUAUCAGGAGGAACACCGGUGGCGAAGGCGGGUCUCUGGGCAGUAACUGACGCUGAGGAACGAAAGCGUGGGUAGCGAACAGGAUUAGAUACCCUGGUAGUCCACGCCGUAAACGGUGGGCGCUAGGUGUGGGUUCCUUC